rnacentral:rRNA from 1 species
GAUGAACGCUGGCGGCGUGCCUAAUACAUGCAAGUCGAGCGAACAGACGAGGAGCUUGCUCCUCUGACGUUAGCGGCGGACGGGUGAGUAACACGUGGAUAACCUACCUAUAAGACUGGGAUAACUUCGGGAAACCGGAGCUAAUACCGGAUAAUAUAUUGAACCGCAUGGUUCAAUAGUGAAAGACGGUUUUGCUGUCACUUAUAGAUGGAUCCGCGCCGCAUUAGCUAGUUGGUAAGGUAACGGCUUACCAAGGCAACGAUGCGUAGCCGACCUGAGAGGGUGAUCAGCCACACUGGAACUGAGACACGGUCUAGACUCCUACGGGAGGCAGCAGUAGGGAAUCUUCCGCAAUGGGCGAAAGCCUGACGGAGCAACGCCGCGUGAGUGAUGAAGGUCUUCGGAUCGUAAAACUCUGUUAUUAGGGAAGAACAAAUGUGUAAGUAACUAUGCACGUCUUGACGGUACCUAAUCAAAAAGCCACGGCUAACUACGUG